rnacentral:rRNA from 1 species
AAUAUUGCACAAUGGGCGAAAGCCUGAUGCAGCGACGCCGCGUGAGGGAUGACGGCCNNNGGGUUNUCAACCUCUUUCAGAAGNGAANAAGCCUUUCGGGGUGACGGUACCCGAAGAAGAUGCGCCGGCUAACUACGUGCCAGCAGCCGCGGUAAUACGUAGGGCGCAAGCGUUGUCCGGAAUUAUUGGGCGUAAAGAGCUCGUAUGUGGCUUGUCUCGUCUGCUAUGAAAACGCAAGGCUUAACCUUGCGCCUGCAGUGGGUACGGGCAGGCUAGAGUGCGGUAGGGGAGACUGGAAUUCCUGGUGUAGCGGUGGAAUGCGCAGAUAUCAGGAGGAACACCGAUGGCGAAGGCAGAUCUCUGGGCCGUAACUGACGCUGAGGAGCGAAAGCAUGGGGAGCGAACA